GUUCCCAGAAAAGUCUCUUCAGUUGUCCAGGAUGGGAUCCACGGCGCCCCAGACUCUCCUCCUGCUGCUCGCGGGGGCCACGGCCCUGACCGAGACCCGGGCGGGCUCCCACUCACUGAUGUAUUUUCUCACCGGCGUGUCCCAGCCCGGCCUCGGGGAGCCCCAUUUCAUGGCUGUGGGCUACGUGGACGACACGCAGCUCGUGCACUUCGACAGCGACGCCGAGAACCCGCGGGCAGAACCUCGGGCGCUGUGGAUGCAGCAGGUGGAGCAGGUGUACUUGCACAGGCACACACAGAGGGGUAAACAGCAGACGCAGAUUAACAUUGUGGACCUGAACAACCUGCGUGGCUACUACAACCAGAGCAAGGCCGGCUCUCACAUCCUCCAGAAGAUGUAUGGCUGCGAAGUCGGGGCAGAUGGACGCCUCCUCCGCGGAUACUGGCAGUGGGCCUGCAAUAACAAGGACUACAUUGUCCUGAAUGAGGACCUGCGCACCUGGACAGCGGCUGACACGGCAGCUCAGAUCAGCAAGCGCAAGUGGGAGGCUGACGGUGAUGCAGAGGACUUCAGGGCCUACCUGGAGGGGGAGUGCUUAGAGUUGUUAACCAGAUUCCUGGAGUUGGGGAAGGAGACACUACAGCGAACAGACCCACCCACAGCACAUGUGACUCACCACCCAGUCUCUGACCAGAAGGCCACCCUCAGGUGCUGGGCCCUGGGCUUCUACCCCAAGGACAUCACACUCACCUGGCAGCGAGAUGGGGAGGACCUGACCCAGGACAUGGAGCUGGUGGAGACCAGGCCUUCAGGGGAUGGAACCUUCCAGAAGUGGGCAUCUGUGCUGGUGCCUUCUGGAGAGGAGCAGAGGGAAACACGAGGGGUUGCUUGAGCCCCUCACCCUAGGAUGGGAGCCUCCUCAGCCCACGGUGCCCAUGUGGGGAGUCAUCUCUGGCCUGGUCCUCCUGGCAGCUGUGCUCAUUGGAGCUGUGGUCCCUGCUAUGAUUAAGAGGAAGCGCUCAGGUGGGAAAGGAGGGAGCUACACUAAGGCUGCAAGUGGAGACAGUGCCCAGGGCUCUGACUGCUUUUUCACAGCUUGAAAGGUGAGACCUGG